rnacentral:rRNA from 1 species
UACGGAGGGGGCUAGCGUUGUUCGGAAUUAUUGGGCGUAAAGGGCGCGUAGGCGGCCGGACAAGUCUGAUGUGAAAGCCCCGGGCUCAACCUGGGAACUGCAUUGGAAACUGGCAAGCUCGAGUAUGGCAGAGGGGGGUGGAAUUCCGCGUGUAGCAGUGAAAUGCGUAGAGAUGCGGAGGAACACCGAUGGCGAAGGCAGCCCCCUGGGCCAAUACUGACGCUCAGGCACGAAAGCGUGGGGAGCAAACAGG